GUUACAGUAACACUAUGUGCACUCCUGUGUUACUCUUGAUCUCCCUAACGCACACUGUGAAUUUGGGGAAGAUCUGAGAACGUCAAAUUUUUCACCCAAAAUAGAAAAAUGGUAAGGGGUUAACCUUUGUGAUUUUUGGGGGGUCAAAAAUUCAUCGUUCUCAGAUUUACACCAAAUUCAUACCGUGCGUUAGGGAGGUCAAAACGAACAGAAGAGUCUGAUUCGUUUCGUCCGAUCAUGCUCCAGAGCCGAGAUCUGUGCCUCUCAUUUCCAGUAUAUUACACUCAAUAAAAUAUACAGGUUUAUACACAAAUUUUCACAUUUUAAUGGUCAAUUUCAGUUAAACCACACGUGCAGUGUACAAGUUUUGCUGGAAAUAUACCCGUUUUAUCUGCUAUUCUGUACUAUAACAAUUUUAUCUACUGUACCUAUUUUAAUCUACUAAACCGUACUAUACUACACAAUACUAUUACGAUUUUAUCUACUGUACUGCACAAUAAUAAAGAUACUGUAUCUCAGCUUUGGAGCAUGAUCGAGCAAAACUGUGUGCACUCCUGUGUUACUCUUGAUCUCCCUAACGCACCCUGUGAAUUUGGGGACGAUCUGAGAACGUCAAAUUUUUCACCCAAAUAGAAAAAUGGUAAGGGGUUAACCUUUGUGAUUUUUUUGGGGUCAAAAAUUCAUCGUUCUCAGACUUACACCAAAUUCAUACGGUGCGUUAGGGAGGUCAAAACGAACAGACGAGUCUGAUUCGUUUCGUCCGAUCAUGCUCCAGAGCCGAGAUCUGAGCCUCUCAUUUCCGGUUUAUUACACUCAAUAAAAUAUACGGAUUUAAGACGCACAAAUGUACACAUUUUCAUGAUCAAUUUCAGUUAAACCACACGUGCAGUGUACAAGUUUUGCUGGAAAUAUACCUGUUUUAUCUGCUAUUCUGUAC
ensembl:lncRNA